rnacentral:lncRNA from 1 species
UCACUUCUUUGAUUGCUAUAUGCAGCAAACUGAUGUUCUCCUUUUGUCUUCUAUUCUAUAGGACUGCAUUUGGGGAAAUCAAGACCUGAGCAGAUCCUUUUUUGUUUCCAUUCAUUCUCAGGGUGGUUCUUCUCAAACCAAAAGAAGCGGUCAGGUAUUAAGGGAAGCGAUGCUGGUUAGGUUCCCAUUCUGGAGCAUGAAAAAACCUUCAGCUGGACCUGAAAGCAGGGCAGUGUGCUGGGUUUGCUCCAGGGCACCGCCCGCGGCAUUGGCUUUUCUGCCCGUAAAAUGGAGGAAGGAGGGAAACAAAUGAGAGAAGGUGAGAGGAUUGUGGCACGGCUGUCCCUUCAUUCCCCUCCCCGUACCAUUUUUGUAGUUGCCUACAGAAGAACCCCCUCCCCACAGGAGGGAGUGGCCAUAUAGCGAUGAAGGUACGUUGGAUUUGUGUGUGUGUGUGAUACUGUAUGAAU